rnacentral:rRNA from 1 species
UACGUAGGGAGCGAGCGUUGUCCGGAUUUAUUGGGCGUAAAGAGCGCGUAGGCGGCUCGGUAAGUCGGAUGUGAAACCUCCAAGCUCAACUUGGAGCGGCCAUUCGAAACUGCUGUGGCUAGAGUCUGGUAGGGGAACACGGAAUACCUGGUGUAGCGGUGAAAUGCUUAGAUAUCAGGUGGAACACCAGUGGCGAAGGCGGUGUUCUGGGCCAGUACUGACGCUGAGGCGCGAAAGCGUGGGGAGCGAACAGG